AGACCUCUCCUUGUCUGUGCAGGGACCGGUGGCCGACUCUGGAGCCCAGGCUGUUGCUUCCCAGUCUGGUGGUGAAUCCUCCAUAGUUUGGUGGACUGAGGAGACGGCAAACUUCAGAUGGAGCACGUAUAAAGUAGUGGAAAAUUUCAUUAGCCUGGAUUACUGAGUUGCUGCAAAAAGAAUGGUUUCCCUGAGACCGUGUUUCACCAUGUUGGCCAUGCUGGUCUUGA